UAAAAGCAAAUCAUGCGUAGAAAUGUCAAACUGUGUUUAAUAAUGUUUUAAUAUUUAGAGCAUGCUAGAUGUUUAAUAACUGAAGAAAGUAGCAGGAUUGUGUCAUAAAGGAAGCAAAAUGUAAACUUACAAAAGACUUAUUCACUAUAGUUAUACCAAUUGUCAACAGUGUAGCAAAAGAUAUUCAUGUCUUUUAAAGUUAUAAAUGAAAUAUUGAAAAACGUUGUUAAUUUUAAUGCGUAUUUUUAUUUUACGUAUUUUCACUGUUAGAAUUUAUUUUUCACUGCAGUGAAACAUAUUUUCCGGUUUUUUUUAUUGGUAAUUUGUCGAAUACUUUCUUCUCAAUUCAGACAAUACACAAAAAUCAAAGGAGAAUUCUUAAGAAUUGUAAGGUUAUAUAGGAGAAAAAGUACGUACUAAACAGAAAAUUCAAGUUCUUUUCUAUACAUACAGGAUUUAUUUUCAUCUUGUGAUAUGAAAAUUAUCAUAUUUCAUUUGUGGCUACCGCCACACGUGAACUAUUUAUUUUCAUACCACUCAAUGAAAAUAAAUACUGUAUUUAUAGGAAAAAACUUGAAUUCUAUGCUGUAUGUUUCAUGACAAAUGAGUAUAUUAAAGGAACUAUAACAUAUGAUACUAAAAAUAAAAAGUGUUUGAAAAAUAAUAUUGAUAGCAUUUGAAAGGUAUAAUGGGCCUUAAAUCUUUUAAAUAGACUUGUCUAUCUUCCAAUUUGAACAAAACCAUUUUUAAUUUUGAGGGACAGGUUCAAAUUAUGUACUGACAGAAUAGCCAAGAGGGCUGAUUUUGAUUAGACGGUACGGAGAUCUCUGCCACCACACUUUAAAAAAAAAUGUUAGAAUAUUUUUAGCUUUUGGAUUUAUUUUUCAUUAUUUUGUAUACAUUUGAAUUUUUCGCAAAUAAGAAUUAAUUAUAUUUCGGGAUAAGUCGAGACAUUGUAUGUUAUCUAGCGUUUAUUUGUUGAUCUAAUUUACCAACCAGUAGUUCCCAUUUUGAUCCUCUCUGGUCAGCAAUGUCUAAUAAAUAAAAUAAAUGACCUCAAGAUGUACGUUUCUUGACACAUUUAGUGGUUAGAUGAAGUAUAUUUUCUGCUGGUUUUCAAAUUCUUCAUAGACUUAGCGUCUAUAACAACAACAGGAACGACAUUCCGUUAUACAACUGUAUAAAAGUUUUGAUUUUUGUUUCAGCCCCGAAGAGAGCGCCGAGAUCUUAUGAUGAAGUAGAAUUACCAGAUGACGGCAAAGUGGAGGUGGUCAAAUAAUGUGUUACACCAGGAAAAUAAUGUCGAGUUCAUUCCAAAUUCACACAGUCAAAAAUGAGUAAAAGACCUUGAUUGUAUCCAUUGUCAUCUGUCUCUAUAACAAUUAGUAAACUACACCUUAAUGUCUGAUAAUAUGCAUUAUAUAAAACUAAAUAAAUAUAACAUGUUUUCUCUCAGGGUGGUCCUUUUACACGUUUUUGACUGUAGAUGAUUACCAGUUUGAAGAUGAAAAUAUGAGCCGCGUCAUGACAAAAACCAACAUAAUAGGUUUCCGACCAGCAGCGCAUCCGCGCAGUCUGAUCAGGAUCCAUGCUGUUACAAGUAGAGAAACUGAUAAAUGAACAACAUGGAUCCUGAUCAGACUGCACGGAUGCGCAGGCUGGUCUGGAUCCAUGCUGGUCGCAAACCCAUUAUGUUGGUUUUGUCGUGACGCGGCUCAAAUAUGUUUUCGUCGUUUAACUAUAUAGUCUAUAUAUGUUGAUGCAUUGUAAUUGUUCAACUGUUUUGGUAUUCAGAUAAUAUCAUUCUUAAUAACAUAUGAAAAAUACACAAUAAUGCAUAUAUAAAAACUUAUUACAAAUAUUUUGUAUGUUUUCUGUAUAUGAGGCAAGCAUUCAUAUGGAACAAAAUACAAAAUUAAUGAUGUAUACUGUAAGGCAAUAUGUUAUAAAAUAAAAUGUUUGGAAAUAAAACAAACUAGAGUAAUAAUAAUUUAUUUAUAUAUAUUAUAACAUGUGUAAAUUUGAAUAUUUUUAUUGCAAUUUCUUGUUUCUAAUGAAUAUUUUUACCGAUACAUUUGUAUAAUUUUCUUUCCCUAUUCUAAAUCUAUAGUUGCCCACUGAUAUCUUAAUGACAUUUAAUAUGUAAGAGGCAAAUAACAGUCUUGGUCAGACUGUGCGGGGUGUAGGACUGCUUGGAAAUAUAGAUACUUGUGUAAAGGUGGUAUGUGAUAGUUAUUUGCCGCUUGUGCUUAAAAUGUUUAUCAUUGUUAAAACAAUGGGACAGGAUACGUGACUGGAUUCGUUAACGUUGUUUAAAACGUCUCACAUUUCCGGUCAAGUAAUGCUAUUUUAUAAGUUAUCAACGGUAUAUAUACAAUGCGAUUGGUUAAUAAUACCAAUUGUUAUUGUAAUUUGUAUUAUUUGUAAUACAUGUAUAAUAUGAAAUUAUAAAGUUACUAGUUUUGUGCUCAUAAGGAAAAUAAAUGAGGAUUAAGUGAUCUUAAUUUUAAUUUUUACUGAUUUGAAGAGACCAUUUUGAAGAAAAAGUCAUCUUUGAAAUCUAGACAAAAUGUAUUUUACUUAUACAUAGUCAACCAAUGUCAUUUUCAAGUCCUUUGCCUACACAAGUCUUUGGAAAACAGUUUGUUACUAGAUCAGACGCCGGUUACCACAAAGUCACCUUUUGGUGAAAAAAAUUGAUAAAAUCAAAACAUUCAGCAGACGACAUCUUCAGCAAACGAAAAUUUUCCCAGCAUGCAAAUGGUUAAGUCAAACAUAGUAUAAUUUCCGAUCUUGGUCCUGGUGAACAUGGUGCCUAAUGUUAUAGUAUUAUCUUUAUUGUAAAUUGUUUUAUAAAUGUAACAUAAAGUAUUUGAAUUUGUAGUAUCGGCGUGUUUUACUUUCAUAAUUUUCUAGUAUGAAAGUGAACAUAAACUAUCGGAUAAGUGAGAACAAAUGAGCCGCGUCACGACAAAACCAACUUAAUGGGUUUGCGACCAGCAUGGAUCCAGACCAGCCUGCGCAUCCGCGCAGUCUGAUCAGGAUCCAUACUGUUCGCUAGCAGUUUCUCUACUUGUUAUACGGUUGGUAAGCGAACAGCAUGGAUCCUGAUCAGACUGCGCGGAUGCGCAGGCUGCUCUGGAUCCAUGCUGGUCGCAAACCCAUUAUGUUGGUUUUGUCGUGACGCGGCUCAAAUGUUAGUCCGUUUGAAGUUUGGUAUCGAAAUAUUUCUUAAUUCAUCUUUUCAGACAUACAAGUAAUGAUUUAGCUGUGUAUUAAUAUGUAUUGAUUUGUAUGUACAUGUAUUUGUAUUAAGAAAUGUCUUCUUUCAUACUGAAUUAUAUACAUGGGAAAUUAAACUAUAAUAGUUUAGGGUGCUAGGAUAUUUGUUUAUAAUGUUAAUGUUCUUAUAAUGCCAUUAUUCAUGGUAAUGUUAUCAACUAUAGAUAAAUGUAGACAAAUGGUUAUUAACGAAUAUGUAUAUAUAUAGUGUUAAAAUUUAUAUAUCUUAAAGGCGUAUGCUACGGUUACACAUAAACACAUAAAAAAAAAUAAAAAACUACAUAAUAUAAUUUAUUUAAUAUUUGUUUAAGUUUAAUCAUAUUUUAUUUUUGUUUUAUUUUGUUUCUAUACAAAACAGAUAUAUGCACAGAUAAGACAAAACGUUAUCAAAUAAAUUUACAGUACAUUGUACAUUGUAUUUAUAAGGAUGCUUUUAGUUGGAAAAAGCAAAAGGGUCGGACCACAAGUUUUAACAACAUUAGAGUGUUGGCCCUUCCAACAUUGUCGCAAUAAUAGUUAUAAGAUGUGCAUAAAUUAGGUUGCAUUUGAAAUACAAUAAAUGGUACAUACUAUAGCAAUCAAUAUGAUAUCAUUUGAAAAAAAGAAUUUGAUUAAAAAAAAGAAAAUCAAAUACAUUUAAACUGUAUGCUUGUAGAGGAAGAUAAUAGAGAAAUUUCAGGUCAAAUAUAUUUCGUUUUCCAGUUUUUUUUCACUUGAAUUUUAGAAUUUUGCUUCUUUCAAGGGCAGGUGAUUAGCAAGGCCUUAUUCUGUAGCUAACUUGCUUUCGAAUGAUUGUGCAAAAUUUCAAGAAUCGGUAAUAAGUAAAGUUUUUUUUUCUUUAUUAAUUAAAUUCUUUGCCAACUUCAUAAAAAAUCGUGAAUAUUCAGACUAUUAAUUUAAACUGAAUGAAGGGAAAACAAAUGGUUAAUUGAAUUCCAUGAAAUGUCGUAUUGCAACUAAGGAUAAAAUGAAAAACAUAAACCAGUAGAAAUAAAAAGAUUUGUAAAAUAUACGUGUAAAAUAUCUGCCCUUGAAAUGACUUGAUAAAACAAAAUUCAAGGGCACAUCACCCGAAAACGAAGCUGCUGACCUGUUUUCCGCUCACAAUGCUUCUGUUAUUAUAUUCUCAGAUCGUGCAAUGUUUAAACAAAUUCUAUUAUAAUUAUGUAAUAAUGUAGUAUUAUUAUAUUUCUAUAUGUAACUUUAGCAUACGCCUUUAAGUAAAUAUGUAAAAUAUGUUAAAUAACUUAUUGCAAAGGGGGAAGUUCAGCAUAUGCUUAUAAUUCUGACCUCAUAGUUAGGUAUUUUCCUUAUUUCUUCACAACAAAUAUUAUUUCAUUCUAUUUCGAAAAACACGGACUUUAAUUUGAAGUCCGUAGUUCAUCUUAGACAUUGAUAUGAAUCACAUCUCAAUGGUAAAGGUCAGUAUUUCAUUGAUCAAAAUGAUUAUAUAUAUUGUUGUCGCAUCUUUCACUAGAUUUAGAUGUUAGCUGAAAUAAUAUUUGAUAAUAAAUAAUACUUUAACAAUAUUGAAUGUAUACGCAUUUGAAAAAAAAAAAUGUCAUUUAGGUUUUGUAUAAUAGGUAGGUGAUCCUUAAGUAAAAGGCGAUUCUUAUGGCACCGCUUAACAGAUAUCCCGCCAAGGGGGGGGGGGGGGGGUAUAUAUGUAGUAUUCGAAUUGUUCGUUCCGUUUUUUCUGACCCACCGUAUCUCAUGACGUCUCUUUUUAUUGACUGAUAUUUUAAGACAUUCAAGCCUACAUAAACUUUGAGGAGUCAAUGUCAUUUUGACAUUUUCUCAUUAGUCUUCAUCUAUUGACGAUAUAUAUUAUUAAUGUCAUUGAAAGUGUCGAAGCUUUGUCAAGGCGGUGUCCGGGGCAAUCUAUUCACAGUUUAUUAUUUUUGAUAUGGUAGAAAAUUUAGCUAAUGUUAGUAUGUUUCUAUAGUUAGCAAGUUAUUUUUGAAUGUUAAUUUAGCAAAAUUUUGUAAUUAUAAACUUUGGAAGCUGAAUAAAUGUUGAAUUUAU